AUUGAACGCUGGCGGCAGGCCUAACACAUGCAAGUCGAACGAGUGGCGGACGGGUGAGUAAUGUAUGUGAAACUGCCCGAUGGAGGGGGAUAACUACUGGAAACGGUAGCUAAUACCGCAUACCAUCGGAUGUGCCCAGAUGGGAUUGGCUAGUAGGUGGGGUAACGGCUCACCUGCGCGACGAUCACUAGCUGGUCUGAGAGGAUGACCAGCCACACUGGAACUGAGACACGGUCCAGACUCCAACGGCAGGCAGCAGUGGGGAAUAUUGCACAAUGGGCGCAAGCCUGAUGCAGCCAUGCCGCGUGUAUGAAGAAGGCCUUCGGGUUGUAAAGUACUUUCAGCGAGUAGGCGUUACUCGCAGAAGAAGCACCGGCUAACUCCGUGCCAGCAGCCGCGGUAAUUC
rnacentral:rRNA from 1 species